CGGCGUGCUUAACAAUGCAAGUCGAGCGAUGAAACUUCCUUCGGGAAGUGGAUUAGCGGCGGACGGGUGAGUAACACGUGAGUAACCUGCCUCAAAGAGGGGGAUAGCCUUCCGAAAGGAAGAUUAAUACCGCAUAAUAUACAGAGAUCACAUGUUCUCUGUAUCAAAGGAGCAAUCCGCUUUGAGAUGGACUCGCGGCGCAUUAGCUAGUUGGUAGGGUAACGGCCUACCAAGGCGACGAUGCGUAGCCGACCUGAGAGGGUGAUCGGCCACAUUGGGACUGAGACACGACCCAGACUCCUACGGGAGGCAGCAGUGGGGAAUAUUGCGCAAUGGGCGAAAGCCUGACGCAGCAACGCCGCGUGGGUGAUGACGGUCUUCGGAUUGUAAAACCCUGUCUUCAGGGACGAUAAUGACGGUACCUGAGGAGGAAGCCACGGCUAACUACGUGCCAGCAGCCGCGGUAAUACGUAGGUGGCAAGCGUUGUCCGGAUUUACUGCGCGUAAAGGGUGCGUA
rnacentral:rRNA from 1 species